rnacentral:rRNA from 1 species
CCGACGACCGGCGCACGGGUGCGCAACGCGUAUACAAUCUACCUUAUGCUGAGGGAUAGCCCAGAGAAAUUUGGAUUAAGACCUCAUGGUAUCGGGAAACGGCAUCGUUUUCUGAUUAAAGGUUACGGCAUAAGAUGAGUAUGCGUCCCAUUAGCUAGUUGGUGUGGUAACGGCACACCAAGGCAACGAUGGGUAGGGGUCCUGAGAGGGAGAUCCCCCACACUGGUACUGAGACACGGACCAGACUCCUACGGGAGGCAGCAGUGAGGAAUAUUGGACAAUGGACGAAAGUCUGAUCCAGCCAUGCCGCGUGCAGGAAGACGGUCCUAUGGAUUGUAAACUGCUUUUAUACGGGAAGAAUAAGGGCUACGUGUAGCCCGGUGACGGUACCGUAAGAAUAAGGAUCGGCUAACUCCGUGCCAGCAGCCGCGGUAAUACGGAGGAUCCAAGCGUUAUCCGGAAUCAUUGGGUUUAAAGGGUCCGUAGGCGGACUAUUAAGUCAGGGGUGAAAGUCUGCAGCUCAACUGUAGAAUUGCCUUUGAUACUGGUAGUCUUGAGUUAUGGUGAAGUGGCUAGAAUAUGUAGUGUAGCGGUGAAAUGCAUAGAUAUUACAUAGAAUACCGAUUGCGAAGGCAGGUCACUAACCAUACACUGACGCUGAUGGACGAAAGCGUGGGGAGCGAACAGGAUUAGAUACCCUGGUAGUCCACGCCGUAAACGAUGGAUACUAGCUGUUCGGACUUCGGUCUGA